GUUUUGUGGCCAAGGCAGGGGCAGAAGCCAGCUCUUCUUACCCACUGUCCCCAAAGCUCAUCUCACACUGGAGUUGUGACAUCAGCACUAUUCUGCCUCUGCUAUACAACAGGCCCUGGAACAUACUCGAACCAUGUAGGUGAUUUGUGUCCCUGUCUCAUCUUUCUUACCAGAAUACCAUCGGAGCUCCUCUGGAACAUGUCCUUGUCUUCUCAGAGUGUGAAGUGUGUGUGUGACAGUGCUUUUCUGAGGACUCAGGUGACCUGGAGGCUGGAGAACAGCAUGGAGCAAGGAAAACAAAGACGAUGUGCUGGAGUGUAUGUUGCUUUCAUAAUUAUGUGAAAGAAAAUGUAGAGAAAUUUGAAAGGAGAACUGGUUAUCAGUAGUGCCAUCCUGCUCAAAUAUCUUCAAAUACACACCACCAUCCAUGUGUGGGUUGAUUAAGGAGCUGACGUUCAUUAGAUCUGCAGUCUCCUGACCUGAUGUGCAUCAGAAUCACUGGGAGAACAAACAAACAAAAAUGAAUCCAAAACAAGCAACGAACAGACAGAUUCUCAAGUCUUGCCAAGUCCAAAGAUUGAUUUGGUGGAGAAAUUGUACUUUGAAAGCUGCCCAGAGAAAAGAUGGCUAUCCCGCCCAAUGUUUGGCCCCCUCCUGCAAAGGCCAAAACAUUCGUUGGGUUUUUCCUUUACUGUCUAAAUAAAGAAGAAUUUGUGCACAGUCUGAGUGGGUCAGGAUUUCAUCCCAUGGCCAUGUGGGAGCUCCAAGAUUUGAUCUCCGGGCUGGGAGAGAAAAUCUUUUUCUGUCUGGUGUUUUUCAAAAUUUUGAUGAUGGACUCACAUCAAGGAUGAAGAGCUUUGAUGUCAUUUGAACACCACCACCAUCACCACCACCAGCAUCAACAAACAAACAAGCAAACAAGCGUGAACUCAGGAGCCCUGUGGCCCAGCCUCCAGUCCAUUUCCUCACUGUGAUCUGGCUAAGUCACCUCCCCUCCACCUCAGUUCAGUCACCUACACAACAGGAAUGGUGGCUCCUGG
rnacentral:lncRNA from 1 species